rnacentral:lncRNA from 1 species
UUUUUUUUUUUUUUUUUUUUUUUUUGCUUAUUCAGAUUGAUUCUAUUGCACUUAAGAGAAAUGUAAACUUCUUGUUUGUUGCUGAUAUCGUGGUCCAAAUGGUUUUAACCUAAUGGCUGGUGAGUUAGUGGGAAGAAAGUGAACUUAGAAAUGCAGUAUCUGUAGCACUUCGUCUUUCCUGUGGAGCCAAUGCUAGAAACUAAAAUUUUAAUCGUUGUCUUUCUGAAGAACCAUUGGCAUGAAUAAACUGACACAGAAAAGGAGAAAGUAUGUAAUAUGGCUGUUCUAGGCUGAAAUGAUACUUUUAUUUUUAUUGUAUUUGUUGAGGUGUCCUUCUAUAAAGAAAGGUGAAAUUUGGUGGAGGGAGAAAAUUAAAAUUUCAGGUAGCCUUAACAUCACUCAUUUUAUUUUCUUCAGCCACUCAUUCCAUACCCAGUUGUCUUUAAAAAUUCUGCCUUUUAAUUUGUUCUCUGUCCUCAUUCACUGGCAUAUAGAACUACUUAUUUGCCUGUCUUCCUUGCCCACCAGAGAAGUCUUUUUCAUCUUCAUUACUUCAAUAACUAACCCAGGCCCUGACAUUGGGUGGUUGCUAAAUGAGUAGCAAUGAUGUUAGGAGGCAGGGGUGUGUGUACUGGUGCAGUUUAACAGAUGAGAAAGCCAAAGCUUGAGUGACUUACCUAAGUCUAGUAAUGGCAAGGAUAGGAUUCAAACUCAUGUCUUCUAGUACUUCUUCCAGUGUUCCCUUUGCUAAGCUAUGACAUAUCUUCACCACAAAAAUAGUUUGAGUAGUUUCACUUUGAGAGUGGAAGGGAAAGAACUGUUUAUGGUGAGGCAAUUCAAUUGUACGAAUUGUCUGGAAUUUGGCUGCCAACCUGCACAGGCUAGUAAAAAAGAAGACAGCUAUUCACAGUAAAAAUUUUUCAGGAAUAUCAAAUUACUUCACUUUACACAAUAAAAAAAAAUUCUUGUGUAAAACACAUGUAAAUUAAGUUAUAAGUUAGAGCCUCUUCCCCAUCACUCUCCACCUCUCCUUAUUUUGACUAAUACAGAUAAUUUCAGAGCUUUAUAGACUCACACAUUUUUAAACAAGAAAUACUUAGGCUGGGCAUGGUGGCUUACACUUGUAAUCCUAGCACUUCGGGAGGCCAAGAUGGGAGGAUCACUUGAGACCAAGGGUUUGAGAUCAGCCUGGGCAACACAGGGAGACCCUGUCUCUACAAAAAAAUUUUUAAAAAAGUUAGUGAGGGUGGGUGCGGUGGCUCACACCUGUAAUCCCAGCACUUGGGGAGUCCGAGGCAGGCAGAUUGCCUGAGCUCGGGAGUUCGAAACCAGCCUGGGCAACAUGGCAAAACCCCGCUCCACUAAAAAUACAAAAAAAUUAGCCACGCGUGUGGCAGGUGCCUGUAAUCCCAGCUACUCUGGAGGCUGAGGCAGGAGAAUCGCUUCAACCUGGGAGGUGGAGGUUGCAGUGAGCCGAGAUCAGUCACACCACUGCACUCCAGCCUGGGAGACAGAGCAAGACUUUGCCUCAAAAAAGAAACAAAAAAAAAGCCAGCCGUGGUGGCACAUGCCUGUAGUCCCAGCUACUCAGAAGGCUCAGGUAGGAGGAUCACUUGAGGCUGGGAGUUCAAGGCUGCAGUGAGCUGUGAUCGUGCCACUACACUUCAGCCUGGGCAAUAGAGCAAGACUCUGUCUCUUAAAAAAAAAAAAAAA